rnacentral:tRNA from 2 species
GCGGGAGUGACUCAGUGGUAGAGUGCCACCUUGCCAAGGUGGAAAUCGCGAGUUCGAAUCUCGUCUUCCGCUCCA